rnacentral:lncRNA from 1 species
GGGAUAAGAAAUGUAUUCUCAUGCGUUUGUUAUUGAGACUCCGAGAAUUGAGAUGAUGUAAAUACACAGUAGGAUAAAUAAAGUGGAUCUUCUCUUUCAUUCUUCUUUUUCAUUAAAGAGGAGAACAUGCCUAAACUUCUUGUUGAUCGGAUGAACUGAACUCAUCUCAGCCUAAUCCUCUCACCUGAUACUGACGUUGUUUCUAAGUUGCUUCCUGGGACAACGUCCAUGGUGCUACCUAAACACCAAAACUUCCUAAUUUGAUGCGAAGGUCGGCAUGGAGGUCAUGAUGAAAAAUUUCGUUUAGUCUCCGAGGAACGACUAAACAUUGAACAAAUAUUUAAUUUGCAUUUUACAUUGCUAUUGAAUAGACUUUCCUUCUUCAAAAAAUCCCCCCGGAGUUUAUCUCAGUUCUUCCUUUCUUUGUUGAAAAAUUACAGGAGUAAAGGGAAAAAAACCAGGUAUACAUACCAAGCAGCUCACAUUUUAGAACAGCUUUCCUUUUACUGUGUUCGUAUCAAGAAAGGUAUCGCAAUAGCGAAAGAAAGGAAAACUCAGAGUGCUUUUUAUGCAUUCUAAUUGAAAGGAUCAACUUUUACCCUGAAAUCAAUAUUCAAACUCAGUUGUAGAAAUGGAUUUUAAUGGAAGAAAUGUGUAAUAAACAUACUUUCCAAGCUCCCAUGGUGAGGGCUGCUGUCUUGAUACACUGUUUGGCAGCAGAAUUCCACAUCAAGAUGCAGUUACUUGCAUUACAAAAGGUAACAAGUUAAGACAGAAAGCAGCAUGUGGGGGACAGCAUGCUAUCCUCCUCCCUUCUCCCUCUUUCCUCCCCAAAUCAAUCUGUUUUGACUAAAUCACUUUCAGCAACCGCAUCAAGGCACCGCCAUUAUGGCAAUGGAUGGUUUGAAGGGGGCCCCAUCCAUUUGCUGGGGUAUUUUGCUGACCGUUUUGUGAGUAUAUGGGCCCUUACUGCUUGCUGACAUGAUGAAGAGCAGCCUGACUACAUGUGCAAACACAG